rnacentral:piRNA from 1 species
UAAUCAGGAAAUUUUUUGGUUUUGCCUUGA